GCUGUAGCUCAGCGGUACAGCACUUGCCUCACAUGUGUGAGGCACUGGGUUCAAUUCUCAGCAGC
rnacentral:tRNA from 1 species